rnacentral:rRNA from 1 species
UUCCAGAGAUGGAUUGGUGCCUUCGGGAACUGUGAGACAGGUGCUGCAUGGCUGUCGUCAGCUCGUGUUGUGAAAUGUUGGGUUAAGUCCCGCAACGAGCGCAACCCUUAUCCUUUGUUGCCAGCGGUUCGGCCGGGAACUCAAAGGAGACUGCCAGUGAUAAACUGGAGGAAGGUGGGGAUGACGUCAAGUCAUCAUGGCCCUUACGACCAGGGCUACACACGUGCUACAAUGGCAUAUACAAAGAGAAGCGACCU